GACACCGUGUCCGAGUGGUUAAGGAGACGCCCUGCUAUAGUUAGCUUGCUAGCUCGACAGGCGUUUGGUUCUGCCAGCGCGCGUUCGAAUCGCGUCGGUGUCG
rnacentral:tRNA from 1 species